rnacentral:rRNA from 1 species
GUACACUCCUGCGGGAGGCAGCAGUAGGGAAUCUUCGGCAAUGGGGGCAACCCUGACCGAGCAACGCCGCGUGAGUGAAGAAGGUUUUCGGAUCGUAAAGCUCUGUUGUAAGUCAAGAACGAGUGUGAGAGUGGAAAGUUCACACUGUGACGGUAGCUUACCAGAAAGGGACGGCUAACUACGUGCCAGCAGCCGCGGUAAUACGUAGGUCCCGAGCGUUGUCCGGAUUUAUUGGGCGUAAAGCGAGCGCAGGCGGUUUGAUAAGUCUGAAGUUAAAGGCUGUGGCUCAACCAUAGUUCGCUUUGGAAACUGUCAAACUUGAGUGCAGAAGGGGAGAGUUGAAUUCCAUGUGUAGCGGUGAAAUGCGUAGAUAUAUGGAGGAACACCGGUGGCGAAAGCGGCUCUCUGGUCUGUAACUGACGCUGAGGCUCGAAAGCGUGGGGAGCGAACAGGAUUAGAAACCCCAGUAGUCCCAUGA